AGAGUUUGAUCAUGGCUCAGAUUGAACGCUGGCGGCAGGCCUAAGACAUGCAAGUCGAACGGUAACGACCCUAGCUUGCUAGUGGUCCACGAGUGGCGGACGGGUGAGUAACGCGUAUGAAUCUACCUAGUAGUGGGGGAUAGCCAAGGGAAACUUUGGGUAAUACCGCAUACUAUCUAAGGAUGAAAGGGGGCCUCUCUUUGAAGCUCUCGCUAUUAGAUGAGCCUGCGUAAGAUUCCCUUGUUGGUGAGGUAUUGGCUCACCAUGGCAACAAUCUUUACCUGGUCUGAGAGGAUGAUCAUUCCC
rnacentral:rRNA from 1 species